GCCAGGCGUGGUGGCGGGCGCCUGUAGUCCCAGCUACUCAGGAGGCUAAGACAGGAGAAUUGCUUGAGCCGGGGAGGCAUAGGUUGCAGUGAGCCGAGAUCGCACCACUGCACUCCAGCCUGGGCAACAGAGCAAGACUCUGUCUCAA
rnacentral:SRP_RNA from 1 species